AUCAUUAAUAUUGGGGUUUUUCUACAUGAAUCACAAAAUGUCACUUUUCAGUUCAAAAUGGAAAAUCCGUUUUGUUAAAAGAGAAAUUAUAUCAAAUAACAUUUCACUUCAAUGAUAAAUAUCUGAUGGAAUUAUAAUGGACAUCAUUAAGCAUUUAUUUCAUCAUCUAAGUCUCAUUUAAUUCUGGAUAAAGUAGUUUCAGAUGGCAUAAAGGAGUUAUAACGAUCGAAAAUGAUGGACAUGUUUAUCUUACUGACUCUCCUUCCGAUGGUAUCAUUAGUUGGAUCAUACGAGUUCAUCUGUCCAUCACAGGCACACUGGAAUCUUAGGGCAAAAUCCAUGUGUAAGCCGACAACAAACUAUACUUGUUUAUUCGACAUAAACCUUCAAAUAAAUGUAUACAGAGAUAGAUGUUAUAGACCUAGC